AACGGGUGAGUAACGCGUGAGGAACCUGCCUCAAAGAAGGGGGACGAACAGUUGGAAACGACUGCUAAUACCGCAUAAGCCCACGGGUCGGCAUCGACCAGAGGGAAAAGGAGCAAUCCGCUUUGAGAUGGCCUCGCGUCCGAUUAGCUAGUUGGUGAGGUAAUGGCCCACCAAGGCAACGAUCGGUAGCCGGACUGAGAGGUUGAACGGCCACAUUGGGACUGAGACACGGCCCAGACUCCUACGGGAGGCAGCAUG
rnacentral:rRNA from 1 species